rnacentral:rRNA from 1 species
UGGGGGAUAUUGCACAAUGGGCGAAAGCCUGAUGCAGCGACGCCGCGUGGCGGAUGAAGGCCUUCGGGUUGUAAACUUCUUUUGCUCUGAACAAGGCAUGCCUUUGGGGUGUGUUGAGUGUAGGGGUUGAUUAGCGCCGGCUAACUACGUGCCAGCAGCCGCGGUAAUACGUAGGGCGCGAGCGUUGUCCGGAAUUAUUGGGCGUAAAGGGCUUGUAGGUGGCUGGUUGCGUCUGUCGUGAAAGCUCAUGGCUUAACUGUGGGUUUGCGGUGGGUACGGGCUGGCUUGAGUGCAGUAGGGGAGGCUGGAAUUCCUGGUGUAGCGGUGGAAUGCGCAGAUAUCAGGAGGAAUACCGGUGGCGAAGGCGGGUCUCUGGGCUGUUACUGACGCUGAGGAGCGAAAGCGUGGGGAGCGAACAGG